rnacentral:rRNA from 1 species
UACGGGGGGAGCAAGCGUUGUUCGGAUUUACUGGGCGUAAAGGGCGCGUAGGCGGCGCAACAAGUCAGUUGUGAAAUCUCCGGGCUUAACCCGGAAAGGUCAACUGAUACUGCAGGGCUAGAGUGCAGAAGGGGCAACUGGAAUUCUCGGUGUAGCGGUGAAAUGCGUAGAUAUCGAGAGGAACACCUGCGGCGAAGGCGGGUUGCUGGGCUGACACUGACGCUGAUGUGCGAAAGCCAGGGGAGCGAACGGG